rnacentral:rRNA from 1 species
GACGAACGCUGGCGGCGUGCUUAACACAUGCAAGUCGAACGGAGUGGCGAACGGGUGAGUAACGCGUAAUAAACCUGCCCUUCAGAGGGGGACAACAGUUGGAAACGACUGCUAAUACCGCAUACUGAAGGAGGGGAUUGCGUGUGAUUAGCUAGUUGGAGGGGUAACGGCCUACCAAGGCGAUGAUCAGUAGCCGGUCUGAGAGGAUAAUCAGUCACACUGGAAUUGAGACACGGCCCAGACUCCUACGGGAGGCAGCAGUGGGGAAUAUGGGACAAUGGGGGAAAGCCUGAUGCAGCCAUGCCGCGUGUGUGAAGAAGGUCUUCGGAUUGUAAAGCACUUUAAGUUGGGAGGCGUUACCAACAGAAUAAGCACCGGCCAACUUCGUGCCAGCAGCCGCGGUAAUUC